rnacentral:rRNA from 1 species
AUUGAACGCUGGCGGCAGGCCUAACACAUGCAAGUCGAGCGGAUGAAGGGAGCUUGCUCCUGGAUUCAGCGGCGGACGGGUGAGUAAUGCCUAGGAAUCUGCCUGGUAGUGGGGGAUAACGUCCGGAAACGGGCGCUAAUACCGCAUACGCCCUGAGGGAGAAAGUGGGGGAUCUUCGGACCUCACGCUAUCAGAUGAGCCUAGGUCGGAUUAGCUAGUUGGUGGGGUAAAGGCCUACCAAGGCGACGAUCCGUAACUGGUCUGAGAGGAUGAUCAGUCACACUGGAACUGAGACACGGUCCAGACUCCUACGGGAGGCAGCAGUGGGGAAUAUUGGACAAUGGGCGAAAGCCUGAUCCAGCCAUGCCGCGUGUGUGAAGAAGGUCUUCGGAUUGUAAAGCACUUUAAGUUGGGAGGAAGGGCAGUAAGUUAAUACCUUGCUGUUUUGACGGUACCAACAGAAUAAGCACCGGCUAACUUCGUG